GGAGCUUGUCGAACCCAGCUCAUGUAGCUGCUGCUGAAUGUGAAUCCAGAGGCUUUACAGGACAGUUUAUGGGACCCUCCAGGCUUUGCAACUCCUGCUCCGGACUCAGUCAACAC